rnacentral:rRNA from 1 species
GACGAACGCUGGCGGCGUGCUUAACACAUGCAAGUCGAACGGUAAGGCCCUUCGGGGUACACGAGUGGCGAACGGGUGAGUAACACGUGGGUGAUCUGCCCUGCACUUUGGGAUAAGCCUGGGAAACUGGGUCUAAUACCGAAUAGGACUCCGGACUGCAUGGUCUGGGGUGGAAAGCUUUUGCGGUGUGGGAUGGGCCCGCGGCCUAUCAGCUUGUUGGUGGGGUGAUGGCCUACCAAGGCGACGACGGGUAGCCGGCCUGAGAGGGUGACCGGCCACACUGGGACUGAGAUACGGCCCAGACUCCUACGGGAGGCAGCAGUGGGGAAUAUUGCACAAUGGGCGCAAGCCUGAUGCAGCGACGCCGCGUGAGGGAUGACGGCCUUGGUUGUAACCGUCUUUCUAGCAGGGACGAAAAGUAGACGGUACCUGCAGAAGAAGACCCCGGCUAACUACGUGCCAGCAGCCGCGGUAA